GAAGGGGGCGGGGGUGCUAUACAUGCAGUCGAGCGGACAGAUGGGAGCUUGCUCCCUGAUGUUAGCGGCGGACGGGUGAGUAACACGUGGGUAACCUGCCUGUAAGACUGGGAUAACUCCGGGAAACCGGGGCUAAUACCGGAUGGUUGUUUGAACCGCAUGGUUCAGACAUAAAAGGUGGCUUCGGCUACCACUUACAGAUGGACCCGCGGCGCAUUAGCUAGUUGGUGAGGUAACGGCUCACCAAGGCGACGAUGCKUAGCCGACCUGAGGAGGGGUGAUCGGCCACACUGGGASUGAGACACGKCCCAGAYUCYUACGGGAGGCAGCAGUAGGGAAUCUUCCGCMAUGGACGAAAGUCUGACGGAGCAACGCCGCGCUGAGUGAUGAAGGUUUUCGGAUCGUAAAGCUCUGUUGUUAGGGAAGAACAAGUGCCGUUCAAAUAGGGCGGCACCUUGACGGUACCUAACCAGAAAGCCACGGCUAACUACGUGCCAGCAGCCGCGGUAAUACGUAGGUGGCAAGCGUUGUCSGGAAUUAUUGGGCGUAAAGGGCUCGCAGGCGGUUUCUUAAGUCUGAUGUGAAAGCCCCCGGCUCAACCGGGGAGGGUCAUUGGAAACUGGGGAACUUGAGUGCAGAAGAGGAGAGUGGAAUUCCACGUGUAGCGGUGAAAUGCGUAGAGAUGUGGAGGAACACCAGUGGCGAAGGCGACUCUCUGGUCUGUAACUGACGCUGAGGAGCGAAAGCGUGGGGAGCGAACAGGAUUAGAUACCCUGGUAGUCCACGCCGUAAACGAUGAGUGCUAAGUGUUAGGGGGUUUCCGCCCCUUAGUGCUGCAGCUAACGCAUUAAGCACUCCGCCUGGGGAGUACGGUCGCAAGACUGAAACUCAAAGGAAUUGACGGGGGGCCCGCACAAGCGGUGGAGCAUGUGGUUUAAUUCGAAGCAACGCGAAGAACCUUACCAGGUCUUGACAUCCUCUGACAAUCCUAGAGAUAGGACGUCCSCUUCGGGGGCAGAGUGACAGGUGGUGCAUGGGUUGUCGUCAGCUCGUGUCGUGAGAUGUUGGGUUAAGUCCCGCAACGAGCGCAACCCUUGAUCUUAGUKGCCAGCAUUCAGUUGGGCACUCUAAGGUGACUGCCGGUGACAAACCGGAGGAAGGUGGGGAUGACGUCAAAUCAUCAUGCCCCUUAUGACCUGGGCUAACMCCACGUGCUACAAUGGGSMGAACAAAGGGCAGCGAAACCGCGAGGUUAAGCCAAUCCCACAAAUCUGUUCUCAGUUCGGAUCGCAGUCUGCAACUCGACUGCGUGAAGCUGGAAUCGCUAGUAAUCGCGGAUCAGCAUGCCGCGGUGAAUACGUUCCCGGGCCUUGUACACACCGCCCGUCACACCACGAGAGUUUGUAACACCCGAAGUCGGUGAGGUAACCUUUAUGGAGCCAGCCGCCGAAGGUGGGACAGAUGAUUGGGGUGAAGUCGUAACAAGGUGGCGCAAGGG
rnacentral:rRNA from 2 species